AGAUGUCCCGGGACCGCCCCUGAAGUCCUCUUAGGGGGCGGCACGGGAGGGAGAACUUCGUGGGGGGCACGGCGGGUGGUGGCGGGUGUGGAAAACUGGGAGCGCCAGAGGGGCUGGGAAGGUGGGCGCGAAGGCACUCACCCCGACUUCUAAGCUGUGCGGAAGUGAAGGGGCGGAGCGGCGGGAGGGCGCUGGCCGCUCGUGAGAACCGGCGCGGGCGGGCCGGGGGCGGGGAGGCGCCCGGAGCAGGUGGUGCAGCCCGAGGCGGGCGGGAGGGGCUGGCGUGUCCUGGAGACGGGAAAAGCGGGGACGGAUGUGCUGAGCUAAUAAGCGUACAGCCAGAGCUGUCAAGGUUUAUUUAUGCAGGACAGAGAACUUAGAGAAGUUAUGCACUGACUGGUGGACACAUGUUCUAAGAUUUUCCUCCGUUCGGUUUAAGAGAAAAGAGCUUACAUAUUUCUGAUGCCUGGUGAUAUUUAAAAUUGAAAGUUGGUCACUUGAUAUUUUAUUAUGGGAUUGGGAGAAAGAGGAACAAAAGGCAUUUAUAAAGCAAAAGCCAUUUCUGUGAUGCAUUCUACCAAAAAUUUGAGAACGAAUGUGUUUCAACAAUCGGAUGCACGGAAUUUGUAGGAGGGUAGAGUGGGGCUUGUAUUGCCUGGGAGAUUCACUGCCAGGUGGUCAUGCAUAAGCCCCUACUCCAAGCUCUCAUUUUCCCUACCUGCAAAAUUAGACCAAUGAACACCCCUCCUGUCUCACCGCAUGUUUUGAGAUUCCGCGUGUAUGAGGGAGGGAGGGAGGGCUGGAGCGCGGGCCGGCGCGGAGUGGGGGUCCCUGGGCGCCGUCUGGGCCGCCCUCUCUCCCAGGCGUGCUCUGGACCGUCUCGUCCCCUCCCGGCGCGUCAUCCUGCUUCCGGAACCCCCGUGUCCUGAAGUCCAGGCAUAUUUAACUUGGAUGCCACAGAAAUCUCAAAAUCUAGGCGUUCUCAGCGGAGCUCGGCACCUUCCCUACAAGCCUCGCGUGUUUCCCGACUCAGCAAAGACAACACUACAGUCUGGUCAUUAUCCUUCUACCCCAAUUCACCUAGCCCCGGGAUCCGCUUUGCGUCUGCACUUCAGGCCGCCUGGUUGUCGCUGCUGCCGCUCUCAUGCCUCGGUGCGGGGCGCGGCGUCUCCCACCUGGACCUCCGGCGACCGCUCUCCGCUCUCUCCGCCUCCGCCCUUGCCCCUCCCCCGUCUCGACGGAGCAGCCAGUCAGAUGCUUUAUUUUAAUGUAAAUCCGAUCGUGUCACUCCUGUUUACAAUCUUUAAUGGGCUCUCUGUUGCUCUUGGGCUAAAGUCCUAUCUCCUUAAAUUCGCUUAAUAGGGCCCUCCUAAUCCAGUUUCCGCUUUCGUCUGGCCUGGAUCUUUUUACCUUGGGCCGCUCCUCCAGCCCUUCUUCGUGUUCCUCCCAACCUGGACUGCUUUCACUUCUCUCAGCUUGCCUACUCAAGCUGCUGCAGCGCUUCUCCGUCUCCUCCCCGCUUCCUUCGUUUCCUGCACCUCCUUCCCCAGCGUGAGCGUUAAGGGCGCCCGUGGAACCCCUUCCUUUGCAGCGCACCCGUAGCCUUGCACUGCCGUGGGCAGCCGUCCGACCGGGGGCGCAUCCCACGCCAGCCCUUUGGAGCGUGGGCUGCAUUGUUCCCAUUUCCUAGGACGGUCCUGACAAUACUGGCAGAGCCCAAGAGCACUUUUAGGAUACACAGUGAUGGGCGCAGAAAACCAAACAAGUAGCCUGAGAUCUUUGUUGAUUGAUUCAUUUUAUAUUGCUGUAUUUUUCAGUUUUAAAAUUUUCCAGUUUAUAAGAAUAGCAUGUUUUUUAAAUAUAUAUGUAUAUAUAAAUUUAAAACUGAUAGGACGUUUUACACCACAAACAAUUACAAAUCUCUUUUAGCAGAAAGUGUGUGGGUUUAUGAAAUGAAAUCAGGAACAGAGGCUCGAUGUUCAAUGCACAUGGGCAGAAAUGUUCACUUUAAGCUCAGAUGCUGAAACUUUAAAACAGCUGAAACUCAUACCCCAAUAAUGAUUAAAGGAAGGACCAGAAGAAAAGAGCAGUAAGCUGGGCUUAUUAUUAAUUUGUAGGCUAGUAAUUAUCGAUAGGUUAAGAAAUUGCUUUUGAAACAAUUCCUGGUACUGUUAAUAUUUCUAUUGUUUAUAUGAGAUGUCAGUGUAACAAAUUGAAAUUCUCAUUUUCCCAGUGCUCCCUCCCAGCUAGCAAUGAUAACGUAUGUGCCUUUGGAUCUGUAGUAUUUCUAAACAUGGUUCUGCUACACACUUUCCAAUAAAGUUAAAC
ensembl:lncRNA